rnacentral:rRNA from 1 species
GUUGGCGGCUUGGCGCGGUGGGUACACCCGAUCCCAUGCCGAACUCGGUCGUUAAGCACCGUCGCUGCGAUGGUACUCCCGCAAGGGGGGAGAGUAGCAAGCCGCCAACU